rnacentral:sRNA from 1 species
CUACAUCCCGCGUGAGGGAUCGACGUGGAAAUCCUUUGGCUUGGCGUGAGGCGGCGGAGCAUAGCGGAGCCGUCCGAGCGCCAAGCUCAAAGAUUGCAACAAAGAGCCCGACCCGAG